GAACACCUCACUCACUCUCAUCCCCCCUUCCAAACCAAUCCAGUGUAGCGAUGUUACAAUCCAGGUUAUAUUUAACCUGCUUUCCAAAUCCUCCUUAUUCCCUGACCAUCAUGUUAUUUUCUUGUUUAUUGAAAUCUGGCAUGUUUCUAACUGGGCCCAAAGUUUUGUGCAAAGAGUCAAAGUACUCAACUUCGAGCAUGAUGAUUUGAAGAGACUUGCUGUACUAGGACAUAAUCCACAUUCAAGUACACUGAGCUAUUCAGCACAGCUCUCUGCUCUCUUUCCCUUAUUCCUCAGGAUGCACCUUUGCUACUUAAUCAGAAGAAACCACAUAUCCCCAAACCAUGCCAAAACAGCUAAGCCAUUAUAGAUGUUUGAAAACUCAAGAAUGAGAAGGCCAAUCUAAUCUCUGGGAACCCCAGUGAUAAGGGCAGCAAUGAAGAAGAAUCUUGACCAAUUGAGUUUGGGAAGAAAUCAGCAAUUAAUGUUUGUUAUGCUUGAAUGAACGCAAAAAACAGUCUACGAAAGGAAGCUGAAAAUGCAUCAAAUGAUCUUUCAUCUUGAACGUUCUACUAGACCAGUUGUAUCCCAGAAGAAGAAACAGUUAUGGUUGCCCUGGCAGAUGACCUCUUGCAGAAAAAGACAAGGAGUGUGCUUCUGUCAAUCCUGCUUGAUCUUUUAAUAGCUGUGAAUUCUGGAAACAGCUACAAGCUGAGUAACAGAUCCACAGUAAGCAAAGGGAAUAUAAAUAAACUGGGGGGGGAGGGAAGGAAAGAAGGUCGCUUCAGGUUUGAAAAACAGCUAUAGUAUUGCCAUAUGAUCUCACAAAUCUAGAGCAGACUCUGAAAUGGCAAAGUUGUGUAAAUACUCACUGUAUAUCUCAAAAGCAGAUGCUACUACAGGUAGUCCUCAGUUCAUUUACAACAGUUCAUUUAGUGACUGUUCAAAGUUACAACACACUGAAA